rnacentral:rRNA from 1 species
UACGUAGGGUGCGAGCGUUGUCCGGAAUUAUUGGGCGUAAAGAGCUUGUAGGCGGUUUGUCGCGUCUGCCGUGAAAAUCCGGGGCUCAACCCCGGACUUGCGGUGGGUACGGGCAGGCUAGAGGUAGGUAGGGGAGAAUGGAAUUCCCGGUGUAGCGGUGAAAUGCGCAGAUAUCGGGAGGAACACCGGUGGCGAAGGCGGUUCUCUGGGCCUUACCUGACGCUGAGGAGCGAAAGCGUGGGGAGCGAACAGG